UACGGAGGGAGCUAGCGUUAUUCGGAAUUACUGGGCGUAAAGCGCACGUAGGCGGCUUUGUAAGUUAGAGGUGAAAGCCUGGAGCUCAACUCCAGAAUUGCCUUUAAGACUGCAUCGCUUGAAUCCAGGAGAGGGUGAGUGGAAUUCCGAGUGUAGAGGUGAAAAUUCGUAGAUAUUCGGAAGAACACCAGUGGCGAAGGCGGCUCACUGGACUGGUAUUGACGCUGAGGUGCGAAAGCGUGGGGAGCAAACAGGG
rnacentral:rRNA from 1 species